CAGAAAGGAAGAGAGAAGCAUGAAUGAUGAGUGAUCAUCGUCGAUUGUCUGCCUUCGUUGUGCAAGAAGAAAGAGUGACAUGUGUGUAGCGGUCAAGCGGAAAGAAGUUAACUAGAAGAGGACACUGUGCCGGGAGAAGGCGUAAACCUGCACACAGGCCGCGUCAGAACAAAGUCUUGCACACGAGACUUAUCGUUCUGAGGCAGAACUUUCCUUGACGUGAUGAAUAGUCCAUGAGGGCAUAGAAAGUUCAGGGGAGGGUGCACGGCUGCAGGUGGAAAGAGUGUUUGUAUAACAUAGGAAAUGAAUAGUGUCCUGUAUAACUUAGCUUUGAUAAUUUCAUAAAGCAUGUUUGUUAAUGAUCGUCAGUUGCUGUACUCCAUUGUUAUUUGCUGUGCUCACCCCCAAUCCAAGCCAGAAGGGAUCAGAGGGUCUUUGCUACAUGCCUGAGUGAGCGGUAGCCCUCUGCUCUACUUCAUCCUACACGCCAAGCUUGCCUGAGUGUGUCCGUUCACAAAGAACAUGAACACAUGUUGCCUGAACAUAACAGGGACCCGAAGGUAAGAAAUUGGGAACAGGUAGGACCGAAAGGGUUUUGCCAGCGCAGAGUACGCGGAACUUUCGGCAAUAGAGUCAGAGUCAUGGGGACUAGCCCGUCGAUGCAGAGUCAAUAUAUAGCUGUCUUGAAAUCAUUGUUAAAGAGUUCAGGGGUAAAAGUGAAGAAUGAGGCUUUUAAAAAAUUGAAGCAAUUCAGCAGCACUGUUAUUGGUUUAACCCAGAAGGAAAACAGCAGUUAAAUCUUAAGUUGUGGAAACAAGUUGGAAGGUCAUUAAGGAGGGCUCACCAACAGGGAAAAGCUAUAGAGGCUGAUGUAUGGGCUGUUUUUAAUUUAGUAACGUUAGCUUUACAGUCCUUUCAGUCUGAUUCUGAAGAUUAUGAAGAAAUUCAUUCCUAUGAAGUCACAAAGUGCUGCUCCAGGAGCUGAGUGUUUAAAUCCUGAGCCUCUCCCUCCUGGGAAAUCACUACCACCCGAGCUGCUCCCGUUAGAGGUCACUGAACCGAGGGAAUCAAGUGAAGGACAGAAAGCUAGGGUUAAAAAUCAAUUAGGGGGUUAUGAAACAAUAACCUCAGCCAGCGAUUCAGAGCUGGACGAUUCAUCUUCUGCUGGUUCGGAAGAUGAUUAUUGCCCUCGCCCUAAGUUAAGGCAGAGAAUAGUGGCGAGAAGGGAAACAGAGAUGAAGGAACUUUUAGGGAGUUUAAAAGAAUUAUUACCUACAGUAGUAGAAGAAAAGAAAGAGAAUAAAAGUCCUCAGGAGUUGGCUGCGCCACCGCCAAAAAGUGUAACGGAACUAGCCAUUAAUCCGGCUUUCGCGGCUAAACCUCCACCGAUUUCUUUGCCCACAGCA